GGGCCAGGUCAGGGCGGCCCUGAACCACUGCCUCCACCUGUGACCAGGGCUGCUGUGGGGAUCUCGGCAUGAGACCCCUUUUCCGAGGAGGGGAGAGCCUGGAGACACCGGCCCAUCUUCCCAAUGGGGACACUUCAGGGAGCAGCUCUCAAGUCCCGAGAAAGACCCUCCUGGCCACAGGAGAUGCAUGGACAUUGGGAACGGACAGAGGAAGGACGUGCAGUUGCAGCCUUUUCAGCAGACGCCCUGAGAACCGGAGGUCGGGAGUUGGAGCAAACGACAGGGCCUCGGACCUAAGGCAGGAGCCCUCCCUACCCCAGACCUCCUGCGUCACAGGAAAUGCACAGACAUUGGGAAGGGAUGGAGAAGGAU